AAAUCUAUCACUUGUCACAAGGACAAGUGGUCUUAACAUUGCGAUGAAGUAACCAUACCUUAUCACCCAUGUGGAAUGGUGGUUGUUCCUUUCGAUAGACAUCUAUAUUAACCUUUUGUUGUUUUUGAGCUUCUUUUAACUGCAUCUUUAUUGUUGCAUGUAGCUUUGAUAAAUGAAUUUCCAAAUCUUUUGCAGCAGGAUUAUCAACUUUUGAAAAGUCAAAAGUAUCAAGUCGUGGAUGAUAACUAUAAUUAAUAAAGAGAGGUGUUUGUUUUGUAGAAGAAUGU
rnacentral:lncRNA from 1 species